GUGAGGGGUCAGGCACAGCUCUGGCCUUAGCAAGCCCCUCAGAGAUGAAGCCACCUGUGGAUCUGCCAGGAAUCUGCCCUCCUCUCACGUCCUGGAAACUGCUACUCACCUUGCAAGACUCAGAAAACAUUGCUUCCUCCAGGAAGUCCUCCGCGAUGGCCCUGCCAUCUCUUCCAGGAAGCCUUCCCUGAUUCUUCAAGAGUUGGCACCUUCGGCCUGAAUGCUGCGUUCAGAUGCUCCCCGCCCCCAGGAGGGUCAUUACUCCUUCCAUGUCCAGCUCCCCACCUGGCCGGGAGCAUCUUGAGAACAAGCAGAGC
rnacentral:lncRNA from 1 species